rnacentral:rRNA from 1 species
AGCAGUCGCCAGGGAAUACGUAGGGUGCAAGCGUUAAUCGGAAUUACUGGGCGUAAAGCGUGCGUAGGCGGUGAGUUAAGUCUGCUGUGAAAUCCCCGGGCUCAACCUGGGAAUGGCAGCGGAUACUGGCUCGCUAGAGUGUGUCAGAGGAUGGUGGAAUUCCCGGUGUAGCGGUGAAAUGCGUAGAGAUCGGGAGGAACAUCAGUGGCGAAGGCGGCCAUCUGGGACAACACUGACGCUGAGGCACGAAAGCGUGGGGAGCAAACAGGAUUAGAUACCCCUGUAGUCCCUGUCUCUUAUACA